UGGCUCAGGAUGAACGCUAGCUACAGGCUUAACACAUGCAAGUCGAGGGGAAACGACAUCGAAAGCUUGCUUUUGAUGGGCGUCGACCGGCGCACGGGUGAGUAACGCGUAUCCAACCUGCCCACCACUUGGGGAUAACCUUGCGAAAGUAAGACUAAUACCCAAUGAUAUCUCUAGAAGACAUCUGAAAGAGAUUAAAGAUUUAUCGGUGAUGGAUGGGGAUGCGUCUGAUUAGCUUGUUGGCGGGGUAACGGCCCACCAAGGCAACGAUCAGUAGGGGUUCUGAGAGGAAGGUCCCCCACAUUGGAACUGAGACACGGUCCAAACUCCUACGGGAGGCAGCAGUGAGGAAUAUUGGUCAAUGGACGAGAGUCUGAACCAGCCAAGUAGCGUGCAGGAUGACGGCCCUAUGGGUUGUAAACUGCUUUUAUAAGGGAAUAAAGUGAGUCUCGUGAGACUUUUUGCAUGUACCUUAUGAAUAAGGACCGGCUAAUUCCGUGCCAGCAGCCGCGGUAAUACGGAAGGUCCGGGCGUUAUCCGGAUUUAUUGGGUUUAAAGGGAGCGUAGGCCGGAGAUUAAGCGUGUUGUGAAAUGUAGACGCUCAACGUCUGCACUGCAGCGCGAACUGGUUUCCUUGAGUACGCACAAAGUGGGCGGAAUUCGUGGUGUAGCGGUGAAAUGCUUAGAUAUCACGAAGAACUCCGAUUGCGAAGGCAGCUCACUGGAGCGCAACUGACGCUGAAGCUCGAAAGUGCGGGUAUCGAACAGGAUUAGAUACCCUGGUAGUCCGCACGGUAAACGAUGGAUGCCCGCUGUUGGUCUGAAUAGGUCAGCGGCCAAGCGAAAGCAUUAAGCAUCCCACCUGGGGAGUACGCCGGCAACGGUGCAACUCAAAUGAAUUGACGG
rnacentral:rRNA from 1 species